CCACUACUCCAUUCCCUUGUAGGCUUGCAGCAAGCUAUUGUGGCGAUAGGUCUGCUCUCUGGCUGUUACGCUUCAUCAUCGUGAAUUGUAAGAUGUCCAGCGAAUCUGAGACAGAUUUUCUGUGGAGCGACGAGGAGCUGGAAAUGUUACAACCUCAAAAAAAGACAGAGGAUUGAAAAUUAUGUGGAGGAUGUGGUGCCACAAUAUGACAGGGAAUUUGUAGAGCAUUUUCGGGUGCGGCGUCACGUGGCAGAUGACCUUUGCGAAAGGUUUAGGAAUUCCAGAUUCUACAAUUAUCAGGCAGGGGGAAAUGGGAAACUGCUCCCACUGCAGCAUAUAUUGAUCUUUUUGUGGUUCACGGGCCACGAAGCUGCAGGUUUCAGGGAUGUAGCAGAUUUAACAUUUGUAUUUCUUCUCUGCGAUGCGUUAUUCAGAGAGUUACAAACUUUAUUAGUGGUUUGGGAAGAGAGGUUAUAAAGUGGCCGUCCGCCGAAGAAAGAGCAGAGAUUGAGGCUCAUUGCCUGGUGCGAUUGGGGCAAUCGACGAUUCCCACAUUAGGAUUGAUAGACCUCAGAAAGAUCCCCAGUCCUAUAUGAAUACGAAGAAUUAUUUUUCUAUUCAGCUUCAAGUAGUUUGUGAUCAAAAUCGACGGAUUAGGGACUUAUUCGUCGGCUAUCCGGGCUCUGUACACGACGGGAGGGUUUUCAGGACGUCCACACUCUACCACACACUCGAAGAAAAGUGUGGAGAUUUUCAUAUUCUGGGUGACAGUGCCUAUCCCUGCACCAGAAAUUUAUUAACACCCUUUAGAAAUACAGGGAAUUUGUCCAGAGUGCAAUGUGAAUUCAAUAGGGCACAGUCAAAAAAAACAGGUGCGUUGUGGAACAUUGCUUUGGCAUGUUGAAGCAGCGUUUCAGACAGUUGUAUCAUCUGAAAUUGAGGAGUGCUAGAGAGAUGGCGCACUUCAUCCGGGCGUGCUGUGUGCUACACAAUCUCGCCGUGGAAGAUAACUUGGAGUUAGAAGAUAACGAAGGUGAAGAAGACGAUGCACCGGCUGAAGAACGAGUAGUCGGCUUCUACAACAGGGAUGACAGAAGUGGCAUUGCAAAGAGAAAUAUGAUUGCAGCACAGUUGCAAAUGUAAAAGCAGCACCAGAUGCCCCAUCACCAACAUAUUACAACAAAUGGUGUUGGCUCAUUGUUUUUACAGGUUGAAGCUGAGGGCAUCAGAUGUCGCGUCUGUGAAGAGCAACGGAGGAGUAGUGAUUAUAAACUGUAAUUUUGAACUGUGCAUUUGGUGAUUAUAGUUUCAGUGUAAUUGUGACUUGUCUUUGUGUUUGUAGUUAAGUUGUAAUUGGGAACUGUGCAUUUGAGUAUAUUAUAAAUUUUAAUUGUAUAUUGUAACAUCCCACCCUCCUCUGCCAUCCUGAUCUGGGUCUUCCAUGGUUUCGCCAGAUAGUGUCAGGCGAAUGCCAGGAUGGGUCCCUAAGUCCAUGGCAGUUGUUCCAGUACCCUUUGUAUGCUUAUUUAUAAUAUUGGAACAAUUAAAGUGUUAAAAAAAUGAAA